rnacentral:rRNA from 1 species
GGGUCAGUAGGUUGGUCGUGCCACCGGUACGUACUGGUCUCACUGAUUCCUCCUUCCUGAAGAACCGUAAUGCCAUUAAUUUGGUGUUGCGGGGAAACAGGACUGUUACUUCGAAAAAAUUAGAGUGUUUGAAGCAAGCUAACGCUUGAAUACAUUAGCAUGGAAUAAUGAAAUAGGACGAUCGAUCCUAUUUUGUUGGUUUCUAGGAUUGACGUA